GUCAGUCAGAGGUGAAAGCCCACAGCUUAACUGUGGAACUGCCUUUGAUACUGCCGAUCUUGAGUGCGGGAGAGAGAAACGGAAUUCCAGGUGUAGUGGUGAAAUACGUAGAUAUCUGGAAGAACACCGGUUGCGAAGGCGGCUUCUUUGGACCGACACUGACGCUGAGGCGCGAAAGCGUGGGGAGCGAACAGGAUUAGAUACCCUGGUAGUCCACGCUGUAAACGAUGAAUGUUAGAUGUCGGGGGAUUUUUCCUUCGGCGUCAAAGUUAACGCAUUAAACAUUCCACCUGGGAAGUACGAUCGCAAGGUUGAAACUCAAAGGAAUUGACGGGGGCCCGCACAAGCAGUGGAGCAUGUGGUUUAAUUCGAUGCAACGCGAAGAACCUUACCUAGGCUUGAAAUGUGUUCGAUCGGUCGUGAAAGCGACCUUCCUUCGGGCGGACACACAGGUGCUGCAUGGCUGUCGUCAGCUCGUGCCGCGAGGUGUUGGGUUAAGUCCCGCAACGAGCGCAACCCCUACCAUUAGUUGCCACCGGGUAAUGCCGAGCACUCUAAUGGAACUGCCUACGCAAGUAGUGAGGAAGGUGGGGACGACGUCAAGUCCGCAUGGCCCUUACGCCUAGGGCUACACACGUGCUACAAUGGGCGCAACAAUGGGCAGCGACACCGCGAGGUGGAGCGAAUCCCUAAAAAGCGUCCUCAGUUCGGAUUGGAGUCUGCAACUCGACUUCAUGAAGUUGGAAUUGCUAGUAAUCGCGUAUCAGCAUGACGCGGUGAAUACGUUCCCGGGCCUUGUACACACCGCCCGUCAAGCCAUGGAAGCCGGGGGUACCCAAAGAUAGCGACCCAACCUUCGGGAAGGAGCUAUUUAAGG
rnacentral:rRNA from 1 species